CCUGCUUCUAGAAGCUUUGCAGGUGUGUCUGCUGUGUCACACUUGUACCAUUUUGUGGCAGAUAGGAGACAGGCUGUCUAGGUCAUAGUGCUCUGACAUAUGAACAUAUGAAUGGGUAGUAGCUAUGAUGGU